rnacentral:rRNA from 1 species
CCUACGGGGGGCAGCAGUGAGGAAUAUUGGUCAAUGGGCGGGAGCCUGAACCAGCCAAGUCGCGUGAGGGAAGACGGUCCUAUGGAUUGUAAACCUCUUUAGGCGGGGAGCAAUGCCGGGCACGCGUGCCCGGAGGGAGAGUACCCGCAGAAUAAGCAUCGGCUAACUCCGUGCCAGCAGCCGCGGGAACACGGGGGAUGCGAGCGUUAUCCGGAUUUUUUGGGUUUAAAGGGUGCGUAGGCGGAUUUUUAAGUCAGCGGUAAAAUGUCCGGGCUCAACCCGGGCCGGCCGUUGAAACUGGGGAUCUAGAGUGGGCGAGAAGUAUGCGGAAUGCGUGGUGUAGCAGUGAAAUGCAUAGAUAUCACGCAGAACUCCGAUUGCGAAGGCAGCAUACCGGCGCCCGACUGACGCUGAGGCACGAAGGCGUGGGGAUCGAACAGGAUUAGAUACCCGGGUAGUC